UUUUAAAGGUCAGUAAAAUCUGUAGGUUUCUAUAAUGGACUAAAUGUGUGUGGAUAUGAAGGAGUCUCUGGGUGAGAGCAGAGGAAGGACAGUAAGGUCAGUCAGUAGAAGAGAGGUUUUGCAUGCUCACAGCUCCACACUCUUUAAGAGCGGUGAGUUCAUCACUGGAGACUUCAGUCCUUUCAGAGCCCCUCACAGCACAAUGAUGACCACUCUGAUCCUCCUGCUGACCACACUGGGCUUCUUUCCUCAAGUGUCCCACCAAGAGGUCCAGACUCCUGAGAGAAGUUCUGUUGAACCAGGACAGUCCGUCACUUUCAGCUGUGUUGCAAGUCGUGGGAUCGGUUAUGCCAUCAGUUGGUACCAGUUGAAACCUGGAGCAGCUCCUAAACUGCUGAUUUACACAUCAAGUUAUAGGGAUUCUGGAGUUCCAGAGCGAUUCAGUGGAACAUACUCUGGAUACACCUUUACGAUGACCAUCAGUGGAGUCCGGCCUGAAGAUGCAGGAGAUUAUUACUGUAUGGGUCACUAUAAUGGUCCAGUGUUCACACAGUGAAAAAGAGUCGUACAAAAACCUCCCUCAGUCAGACGCAGAGAAACUGCACUGCUGCAGCUGCAGCUACUGAACCACACAGUGUUACUAAUAUUAUAGUUAUUAUUAUUCAACUGUAGUUCUGUUUUUAUUGGUCUUGAUGAAAAGAGUGAAAUGUUCUAUCUUAACAGAAAAUAUUGUGUCUUUCAAGUAAAAGUCAAACUAAUUCAAAGCAGUUCCCUGAACGGCACCAAAGGUAAGGCCCAUGAAAAGAUCCAUAAUGCAAUUUUGUUGAAAAACAAGAAGGGUAUAUUUUAAAUAUAAAGAACUGUCAAAAAGUUAAAAUAACUAAUCACAUUUGUUAUAUUUGCUAAUUUUUUACCCUAAAUAGAUAUUUAUUUCCAUUUAUAAAGCAGUUAUUGUGUUAUAGCUAUGAGCAGACACAGUUUGCUUCAUCAGAGUGUAUUUAUUACUUUCAGUAAUUCAACACUGACCUGAAUAUUAAUUCACUUGAAAGCAGGGUGAACAUUAAAAAUACAGUGAACAAAAUUUCUAAUUUUCAUCAUUGAUGUUCAAUGAGAGCAACAGUGUCUGAAUAUUCCAACCCAUGAAUGUGUAUAUCGAAUCUAUAAAAUAUACAGUUCAUAAGUUUAUAUAUCAUAUACACAGUCA